rnacentral:rRNA from 1 species
UAAUACGGAGGGUGCAAGCGUUAUCCGGAUUCACUGGGUUUAAAGGGUGUGUAGGCGGGCUGUUAAGUCAGUGGUGAAAUCUCCGGGCUCAACCCGGAAACUGCCAUUGAUACUAUCAGUCUUGAAUAUCGUUGAGGCAGGCGGAAUAUAUCAUGUAGCGGUGAAAUGCAUAGAUAUGAUAUAGAACACCAAUUGCGAAGGCAGCUUGCUAAACGAUCAUUGACGCUGAGGCACGAAAGCGUGGGGAUCAAACAGGAUUAGAUACCCUGGUAGUCCACGCCCUAAACGAUGAUUACUCGACAUACGCGAUACACAGUGUGUGUCUGAGCGAAAGCAUUAAGUAAUCCACCUGGGAAGUACGUCCGCAAGGAUG